UACGUAGGGUCCGAGCGUUGUUCGGAAUUACUGGGCGUAAAGGGCGCGUAGGCGGUUCGAUAAGUCAGCUGUGAAAACCAUGGGCUUAACUCAUGGCCUGCAGUUGAGACUGUCGGGCUGGAGUGUGGGAGAGGAGAGUGGAAUUCCUGGUGUAGCGGUGAAAUGCGUAGAUAUCAGGAGGAACACCGGUGGCGAAGGCGGCUCUCUGGACCACAACUGACGCUGAGGCGCGAAAGCUAGGGGAGCAAACAGG
rnacentral:rRNA from 1 species